GUUACAGCACAUUUCCAGUGUGUUACAGUCUCUCUGGUCAAGGAGGCUGUGAAUUAAUCUGGCGCUGGCUGCUGCUCACUACAGCAGCAUUCACAAUGUGGCUAAAGAGGAUUUGCAAGAUACGCUUACUUGUCCUCUGUUUCAGAGAAGACCUCCUCUGUCAUUAGCUGGGUGGCACUGAACAAGCUACCCAGGAUGCCAAGGCUUAGUUGCCUCCUCUGAAAUGAUUGACAGAAGGAACAAUCUCCUAACCAUCUAUGGAAAGACUAAUCUUAUCUCACAGAGUCGUAGCACCUUCAGGGUAGAAGAUACAACACGCUUUGUUCUACAAAUGAGGAAAGUGAGGCCUAGGAGCUGUGCGUGCAGCCAAGCAGUGAGAAAGACCAAACUACACCUCCCAUCAAAUCAGAGUCAGUCAAUAAUGAUUUAAACCAAAAAGAAGUAUUGUCUGGGGAAACAGAAAAAUAAAAUUCACUCUCAGAAAUAUAAAUCACAAGUUGAAUGACAAACUUUUAUCACCAAUAAAAGAUUAAGAAAAAUA